UCCCGUGGCGGAGACCUAGCCGCCGCCUCCUCCAGCACCCGCUCGUCCCUCCUCAUCCACCCAACCCCUAACCCUAGGAGCUCCCGCCGCCGCCGUCUACUUCGCCCAGCCCGCCGGACCGCCGCCAUCCACUUCCCUGGCGUCGUCGCCAUCGUCCUCACCUGCACAGGCAGGAGGAGCGCCCCCACCAUCUUCUCUCCUCCUCCCCUCAUCACGAGCCAGGACAAGGAGGGCCACCGUGGCCAAGCAGGUCAGGCGACGCGUCCAGAUCACCAAGGAACCGCCCGUCGGCCAUGGCGCGACCGAGCAGAGCAGGUACUAUCCUUGUCGUGGAUUGCUGCCUCACGUGUACGCAGAGCACAUCUUGGGUGUUUAGGUUGCAAGGUCAGUUUAGUCUACUGCAACCAAGAUGAAUGUGCAUCAAUCUGGAAUUGAGAUUCUCAAUAUUCAGACAUUGUCGAUAACAAGGUACCUGACUAUAUAUAGUGAAGUCUACUUCUUUUGUCCUUCCUGUUGUUAAUAGUUUUUCCAUCGCUAUUAGCCAACCAGCAGGAUUUGAAUCAUUAUAUGAGUGCAAGGAGAUGUCAUGUGUCAUGUAAAUUGUAAGUUAUGUAGGGCUUGGUUAUUGCAGUUUUUAGUUGGGUUGUGAGCACCUCAUCUACUCAACACCAGCUAUACUUGAUGUGUACUUGCAUAUAUGUAUAUGCCGCAUAUCAUGAUACUAAUGACACUUUCCUGCUACCUCAGUACUUCAGUAUGGUACAACUUUGCUGAAAAGUAAUAAGGUAAAUUAGUCAUUAUUUUGUUUGACCACGUGGAGGGCGCGCUGCCGGCUCCCGGGCCCUAGAAAUUGCAGUUUCUUUUUCUUCUUCCAUCUUUCAUUUUCUUUCCUUUUUCUUCACCCGAUUGACACUAAUUUGUUUGUAUGCUUUCUUAUUUGUUUUGCAAGUACAUAUCAUGGUGUUGAUUGCCGACUCGCCUUUUACCUGGCAGUGGAUGCAGAUUUCUUGGGUGUUUAGAUCUGUAGUUCUUCCCGUCGCUGGUCUGUAUCUAUUACCACACUCAUCGAUAUGUGGCAGAAUUCAAGUCUUCGUCCACGUCCAACGACCUGCAGGUUAUGGGUCCCACUAUCAGGCAUUGUAGUCUGAAAACGGCCCUAUGCUCCUAUCGUUUUAGUGAGAAUAGUGCCAGUGAUUCAAAAGGUAAUGUCACCUCCAUUGAAAAUGAAGUGUGAUUUAGUAGCAUUAGGCUUGCAGUUUAAGAGAUCUUGCCAUCCAUUUUUCCUAGAUUUUGGGGAUGUGUAAAGUGUAAAAUUAUAGAUCGCUUAGACUUUGGGUGGAGCUGAAGAAGUUAUCUAAACUUUAUCUUAAAUUUGUACUUACUGGCCAUUGAUGUUGUCAUGCAUUCCUAAUAGCAUCCAUGAAUGGUUAAUGCAUGCACAAUACUAUUCCUCUAUAUUCUUAAACUUUUAUUUAUUUAGUCAUUUACCCUGCUACUUCAUAAUUUUCAUUGUUCACCUUUCUCUCUUUUGGUGCUUUUUACAAAACUUAGAGCUGCGCUUCAUGUAUUUAGAGACAUUAUCUUCAUUGCAUAAGCAGUUCCUUCAUUACAAAUCCUAGAACUGAAACCUUUCACUUUGAAGGCAGGAGACUAAUACGAACCGUGAGUGUUUCAUAGAGAAAUAUGUUCAUAUGAAGCAAAAGAAAGUCAUGGAGUACCAUGCAAUUACAUCAUGAUUAAUUAUUAGCCUAUUGUGAUACUCAAAACCUGCUAAAGACAAUAUUUAUGACUAAAUGUUUGACAUGAUCUCAUGUCUGAUUUGCUAAUGGUGGUCACAAGAUCUCAAUUCUGACAGCAGAAGAAAGAAAUGAUGCAUGUUACUUUCAUUGUUGUCCUCGCAGUUAAUUACAUGAUCUCAGGUCUCUCUCUCCAAGUUGAUUUUUCUCCAUGUCAGUAAUCAUCUUCUCCCCUAAUUCAGAUUCAUUUUUUUGUAGUUGCUCUUAGAGAACAUAUCACUUUGUUGCUGCACAUAUGUGACGCUUUUAAGCAAAAUGCAAGAUGUUUGAGGAAAUGGCAAUAAGUGUAUGUUUGUCGAGGUGCUCUCUUCUUAUUUAUUUGACAUGAUAAAGCAUGGACCUUCUUGUUCAGGUGUUAGAUUUCUCAAUCCAUACUUCCAUACAAAUAUCAGUUCUUGACUGGUUAUUCAGUAACCUUGCACAUGUUCAUUUUCUCUCUAUAUCACCAGUAUUAAAGUUCAUACAUAAUACCUUAUAUUAUUUGCUUUAGAACAUUGCAAAUCAAGGUAAGCGGUGCAUUUGGGAAAUUCAUAUUCUAUUCAAAAGCACUUCAUCGAUACCGUCAAAUGCUUCACAGUAGAAUAUGCUACUUCAUUUUUUAGGUGUCCUAAGGUUUCAUAAUUUGUUGUAUUAUCUAAAGCAACAUGUUUUAUCAUUUUAGUUAGCAUUGCACCAAUAAAAAACCACAAAUUAUACACAUUCUCACCCUUUGUAAAGAUCGGAUAUACCCAACCUUAUCUGAUCUUAAUAAAAGGGAUUAUAAACCAGUCAGAUCAUAUACCUAUGCCAUCAUCCUCGGAUAGUAUAUAUUGAAAUACAGUCAUUCGCGACAACAUAAUCUACUGCAGUAACCCAAAGGAUAAAAUCCAUCUAGAAGACGAACACCAAGGAAAGAAAAAGGUAGACCUGUGUCGAAGGAGUCUGGCGCCUGCCGUGGUGGCGCGUACUGAGGUUGGGGAAAAGCACGAGAGCAAACCCUAGACAGAUCCCUAAACAACAACAAAGCUAUGGAUGAGCAGAUGUAAAUCACAAACAAAAAGGCAAACUAGAAUGUCGACGAUUUGCCCUUUGAAGCCCUUUUAAACAAAGCCCUGGAUUAGAAGAUGUAUAUGAUCUGGCUAGUUUAUAAUCCCUUUUGUUGUGCUGUUAACUAGCUACUGUAAGAUGAUAUCCUUUCUUGUGCUUUCAGAAGAUCCAUAUGGCUUGGUAGGAAAAACAUUGGCCUUCUAUGCUUUCUUAUUGUGUAUUGAUGGAGCAACUAUUGUUACAGAUUCUGAGGUCCCUAUGUAUAUGGAUCGAUUGGUAACUGACCUGUAGAUGGCUUGAUAACACGCAUGUGUGUUACUUACCCAACUAUCACUUGUGGACUCACAUCUUGUUGCUUCUUUAAAGCAUCGGUCGUCGAUGAUUUUCUGCUGAGCAUAAUGGAAGACACAAGCAGCCGCUUGGAAGGACAUCUGGAAAAAAGGGCGCAGGGUGCGCUAUUAGAUGCCACCUCUGUCGUUUCAUAACUGCUACUAGGCCUAUCAAGGUUCGUGUGAGACGGCCCUAUGAAGUACAUCGACAAGGCAGAUGAAUUACGCCACUUAUUAGUAUGCUUAGUGCUUAUGGCUCCGUAGUUGGCUCUCCUUUAUUAUGUUCCUGUUCUUAUUACCUCCUCUUAUGUCUUCUCGCUUUUGUUUUGAACUUUAUGUCGAAUGGCUAUCUUUCGUGUUCAUAUGAGCGUACUGAAUUUGAUCCUACCUUAUAAUCUGAUGGUGAUCUUGA